AUGAUGCGCUUGUCGGGCUUGGAGCUGCACUUGGCGCGGCGGAGCACCUCGGUGAUGAGAUCCACCGACGGCACGUCCUCGAGGUUCGCCGCCAUCUCUUCCCCCGCCGCCGGAACGGAAGUCGCGUGCCCUGCGGCCGGCGCGGAGGCGUCCGAGAUUCGGAAGGUGGAGCCGGUGGGUGGGUGGCAACAGGCAAUGAGAUUAGGGGGAGGGGCUGCAGGUUUGGUGCGUGCUGGUGAGAGACGACGGGAGAAACGAGGUCGUGGCGGCGGCUGGAACCUGCUGGACACGUAG
rnacentral:rRNA from 1 species